GAAAUGUAGUUUAAAAAAAAUUUAGGUGUGUCAGACUUAGGAUGCAAGUAGUUGCUAUUUCU
rnacentral:tRNA from 1 species